UUGGGGUGUGCAUAAAAAUUUGAAUUUCAGAUUUUUGGUUCUAAGAGUUUGGGAAGAGAGAAUAAAAUAGAAAAAAUUAUUUUUUUUCUAUCUUUCUUUUACCUCUUCAUUUCUUAUAGAAGUUCAUCUUCAACCUUUAAAAAUAUUUCAGAGAUUUGAAGAAAAGAUCCAGAUCAACCAAGAAGAAGAUCUUUGCACGAGCUAGCACUCCCGAGAAAACCGAUCAGAUC
rnacentral:lncRNA from 1 species